CUGUUUAAAAAGCAAGUUUGGGUCCAAAAAGAAAGGAGGUUUUCAGCGAGUGAUUUUAACUAGGCCCUUUGGCACUCGACAGCUCCUCUCUUGUUAUCGAUGCUAAGGGUGUUGUUAAGAGAUGAGGCUCCACGAAGCACGAACGUGAAGUCACAGAGCUUUAGCAAGGGCUGUUGCCAUGUUCAAUAUGUUAUUACAGCUCCAUCACCACAGGCACAAAGAGCAGCAACUCAUCUCUGCCAAAUCCAUCUCUGAAAUCACUCCCCCACUCCAUCCCCUCCAGCAGCAGCAGGCAAACACCAUCGAUUGCUGUUGCAUCUCCUCCAAGGCUUCCACCUCACACUGGGAAGGAAGGAAGACCCUUGGAGAGAAGGGGUGUGCACAGUUGCUGAAGAAGGAGGGUAGCCGAGCUCAUCUGCAAGAUGUCCAGCAGCACCCACACCCCUUCCUAGAAAAUCAGGGAAAGAGAAGAAAACCGGAUAAGGCUGAAAUUGCAGGAGGAGAAGAAAACAGCCAGGACAUCCCUGUUAGUAGCAGGACUGAAUUCUUCCCUAGAACUUUAUUCCAGAUUUUUAUCAGGCACAAGUCGACAGCAAGAGCAAGCCCACGGCAGAUGGGUGGACGUCGAACACACUGGAGGAGGAUCCUCCUACAGCUCCUGGACUUGACAACCCUACUCCACUCGCUCCUGAUGGGCACUCAACUCCACUGGCUCAGCUUCUCAGGGAGAGCCCAGCUGCCUCCCAGUCAUGGCUGCACAGAGAGUUAACAAGAACUGCCAUUCUCCGCAGGGGAAGGAGGACAAAAGCAGGAAAGAGGGUUGGUCAAGCCGCACACUGGCAGAGGUCUCACUGGGAGGGAGCAACAGGAUGCUGGCAGCAUGGGUGUGUCCCCUGUCCAUCAGUGCUACUGCAGCUCCUCAGGAUCCCUCUGCCUGGGUGUCCUGCAGCGCUUGCUGACAGGCACCCCUUCCCCAAAAGAUUUGGGCACGGCCACAGUUGGCCAAGUAAGCACCUCCCUCUCCCAUGGCAGAGGUGCACGGCCAGGGAAGACAGCCCAGCUAUUGCUGGGUCCCUGCUUGCAGACGAUCACCAAAAGCCCAAGAAACAAGCCCAGAACUCUUUUUCCCAAGUGAAAAACAACCCCCAGUGGGGAAGGGAGAGCCCAGCGUGAUCCACACUGCAAACACAAGAGGCUACAGGAGGACACGCGUCCAGGGACGGCCGACGCUCACAGCUCGUUCCAUUCUCCAGCCCCUCUGUGCUAUUGUUCCACAGCAAUAAAUCACGGGGAGGUGCUGGAAUUCUGGGCUGUUUUCUACAAGAGGGAGCCUGGGGUGCCGGAUCUGAGAUGCCGCCUCGCUUUUGCUUGCUAAUUCCCUCGGCGGCCGCUGUGCUCAGUGCCGUUCUGAGCCCUCCACUCCCACGCAUCCCGUCGGAGCUCUGAGCUCUCCCAGUUCAAAGCACUGCUGCGUGUCCACCCCCUCUGCUCCCCUCCCCCAGCCCUGGAUUACUCAAUUAGAGAUUAUGCUUUUGCCAGUUACCUCCAAGCCAACUGGGGCUUUUGCCAAGGUCAACACAAGUUCCAGCCAGUUUCAUUAAUAACUGUGAGACCAACCCACUGGAAACUCUGAGAGGUUAAUCCCAGCAACAGAUCAAUGUUCCCAUAACAAAGCCACAGAGCAGAAACAGGACUGGUGAUUUACCAGCCAGCCCAGCUAUCUGUGCCGGGAGCUGUGGCACUGCCCCUCUGCCCUGUACCAGGGCAAACCCUGCUGCCAGAGACCCCCAUCUCCCACUCCUCUC